rnacentral:lncRNA from 1 species
UAUGACCUAAUAUUUCAAGAAAAAAGAAAAAAAAAAGUACUUAGACCAAAAGAUUGUCUCAUUUUGGCUAAUCGGUCAUGGUAUGAGUUUAGGAUUUGUAAAAUAUCUAACUUGCGAGCUCUUACAGCAAAAAUUAUUCUUAAUUUUCUUUUUUUAAUUUCCUUCUGAAAUCUAAAAGAGAAGAAAUUAUUUUUCACAUUUUGUGUGCUCUUAAUAACUUUGAAGAUGAUCUUAACAAUAUAAGAAGAUAAUAGGAACACUCCAAACAAGAAUUUCCACAGAAAUUCCAUAUGCAAAGUCACCGAACCACACAAGUGGUCAAGGUUGAAUAGCAGCAGCUUCUCCUGUUACGACAGAACUGCAAGGCACAAAGCAUAGUGUGACAAUUUUUUUUUUUUUUUUUUUGGUAAUGAGUGUGACAGAAUAGCAGUGAAAAUUUCAAAUUUUGCAUAUAUGACUGGCAAAAUUUUCAUUCUGAAUAAUGCCGAUACAAAGCACUCAAAAUAUCUACAAGAUCAAACCAAAGCCAUCUCAGUUUCCAAGCAAAGAUGUCACAAUUGCCAAAACACCAAUCAC